rnacentral:rRNA from 1 species
GACGAACCGUGCGACCGUUGUUCGGAUUCACUGGGCUUAAAGGGCGCGUAGGCGGGCCGCCAAGUCCGGGGUGAAAGCCUCCAGCUCAACUGGAGAAGUGCCCCGGAUACUGGUGGCCUCGAGGGGGGUAGGGGCACGCGGAACUUCCGGUGGAGCGGUGAAAUGCGUAGAUAUCGGAAGGAACGCCGGCGGCGAAAGCGGCGUGCUGGGCCCCCCCUGACGCUGAGGCGCGAAAGCGUGGGGAGCAAACAGG